CCACCUUUUAAAAAAAAUGUUCCUUCGUUGUUAGACUUCAAAGACGCAGAGAAAAUCCCCCUCAGUCUGUGGGCCUUAGCGCUCAAGGCUUGGUGCGUGUGAGACGACACAUCAAAGCGGUCGAUGAGUUUUGUACCCUUUUAUCCUUUCCAAAUGGGACGUCAGACCUGAGCCCCAGUGUAAACCUGAGCAGGCGGUCCUGUCGACAUGGCAAGCAGACAAGAUGUGGUCUGUUAGCAUGGGAGUAUGGCACGUUUCUGCCUUCAGGAGAUGAUGAUGCGUUUGUGUUGGUUUACGGCUGAGCGGAUGCUGAACUCGUAGAGUCAGAUUUAAGCCAGUGAUGCAUGAAAAACAAGAUGUGUAUGGAAAGAGUCUGACCAGAUCCAAACCCCAAAGACCAGUAAAAGCUGUCAACAGCUCCAGCAUGGAUUGUCGUGCCUGUCCCUCCGGCAGAUUUCCAUUAGCAGCAGCCAGGCAUCCGGUCCGUAGCGGUCAGUAGAUCCUUUAGAUGGGAAACCAGCUCCUUCAGAUGGAAAGUCACUUCUGCUUCACAACAACAAAGCCUAAAUGGCUAACGGCUAGCAGCUUCUAUGGGCGGCUCCAUUGCAGAGGUCUGGGUGGUGGACAGAGGUAGCGUGUUGGAGAAAUACAUAGCCAGCCAAAAGAGAAGAGGAGAAGGCGGAGGUAGAGGUAAAGAAGAGAGAGAACAAAGAUCUGAGGGAGUGAAGAAGCUCCAAGCAGGCAUCCA